rnacentral:rRNA from 1 species
GAUCCUGGCUUAGGAUGAACGCUAGCUACAGGCUUAACACAUGCAAGUCGAGGGGCAGCAUGAUCUUAGCUUGCUAAGAUUGAUGGCGACCGGCGCACGGGUGAGUAACGCGUAUCCAACCUUCCCUAUAGUAGGGGAUAGCCCGUAGAAAUGCGGAUUAAUACCCUAUGUUGUAUUUUGAGGACAUCUGACGAAUACCAAAGGUUCACCGCUAUAGGAUGGGGAUGCGUCUGAUUAGGUUGUUGGCGGGGUAACGGCCCACCAAGCCUACGAUCAGUAGGGUUCUGAGAGGAAGGUCCCCCACAUUGGAACUGAGACACGGUCCAAACUCCUACGGGAGGCAGCAGUGAGGAAUAUUGGUCAAUGGGCGAGAGCCUGAACCAGCCAAGUAGCGUGCAGGAUGACGGCCCUAUGGGUUGUAAACUGCUUUUAUGCGGGGAUAAAGUGAGGGACGUGUCCCUUAUUGUAGGUACCGCAUGAAUAAGGACCGGCUAAUUCCGUGCCAGCCGCGGC